AGCAGCUCGAGUUUGAAUCAUUUGAAAGGUUGGGACUCACUGUGCGCUGCACCAAAACUCAACAUGACUAGAAACAUUAUUUCCCUGAUUCUGUUCCUGCGCUGGAGCCAAGGCACUUUGGGUGGGGAUGAUGUUGUUCAAGAGCCUAAAAUUCUUUGGAAACCAAAGGCGAGUUCUGCUGAUAUGAACUGCUCACACAAGAAGGGCAUUUCAUUCUACCAGAUGUACUGGUACCGCCAGCGUCCCGGAGAGACUAUGAGGCUUAUAGUAUUCACCGUCGCUAACUCAAAGCCAGAAUUUGGAGAUGUUGAUGAGAAUAAAUUUGAAGCUCAUAAAAGUGAUGCUGAAAGUGGAUCUCUCACAGUGAAAGAUCUAGAGCCGGAAGACGGUGCCAUAUAUUUCUGUUCAGUGAGUGAACACAGUGUGUGA